GUGGCCAGAGGGCGUUAGGAGCACAGGCUGCACUUCCCUGAGGCUCGCCCGGAGAGAUUUUUGAAGCCCUGGGUUUGUUUCCCAGCUGAUGGCUGCUGAAUUCACACUACAAAUGCCCACCGCAGAGAAGACUGCUCAUCAGGCAGAGAUACAGGAGCACACUAGCCAGAUGACGACCUCCAAACUCCCUAACAAGACAGAGCUCUGCGCCCGACUAGCAGAACUUGAGGAACAAGGCUGCCCCCGUGUGGUGGGAAAUGUGAACACCAGAGGGAUUUGUGCAAAAAAGUGAGAAAUAUGAAGAAAUAUGAA